rnacentral:tRNA from 1 species
GGUAGCUCACUGGUAGAGUGCUUGCCUUGGAUGCAUGAGGCCUUAGGUUCGAUUCCUCAGUACCA